GUCCAAGGUGAUUCCCUCUCCAAAGGGCUGACUGUGUGCCACUUUCAGGAAUGUAGCAACUUGGAAGAAAGCCAGGCAAGCCCGAGGUCUUUGGUGAACAAGGAACUCUUGUUUCCUUUGCCCUCCUCUGGCUGCCUACAUGU
ensembl:snoRNA Gm24151 small nucleolar RNA SNORA67